UGAAUACGAGAUGCUACGGCAUUGAAGCAGUCUAUGUCAGACUUCCAAGAAAAGCUCGCAAUGUCAUAAACAAUUAAUGCCUGUACCAUAACCGACACAGGUGGGUAGGUAGAGUAUACUAAGGGGCGCGAGAUAACUCUCUCUAAGGAACUCGGCAAAAUGACUCCGUAACUUCGGGAGAAGGAGUGCCUUAUUUUAUAAGGUUGCAAUAACAAGAUCCAAGCAACUGUUUACCAAAAACACAGGUCUCCGCUAAGUCGUAAGACGAUGUAUGGGGGCUGACGCCUGCCCAGUGCCAGAAGGUUAAAGAAGUUGGUUAGCCUAGCGAAGCUGAUGACUGAAGCCCUGGUGAACGGCGGCCGUAACAAUAACGGUCCUAAGGUAGCGAAAUUCCUUGUCGGGUAAGUUCCGACCCGCACGAAAGGCGUAAUGAUUUGGAUACUGUCUCGGAGAGGGGCUCGGUGAAAUAGACUUGUCUGUGAAGAUGCGGACUACCUGCACCUGGACAGAAAGACCCUAUGAAGCUUUACUGUAACUUGAGAUUGAAAUUGGACUUUAUUUGCGCAGUAUAGGUGGGAGACGUUGAGAAUAUUCUUGCGGGAAUAUUGGAGUCAUCAGUGAGAUACCACUCUUGUAACGUUAGAUUUCUAACUUUGAAUCAUUAUCUGGUCAAAGAACAGUCUCAGGCGGGCAGUUUGACUGGGGCGGUCGCCUCCUAAACGGUAACGGAGGCGCACAAAGGUUUCCUCUGAACGUGUAGAAAUCGUAUCUAGAGUGUAAAGGCAUAAGGAAGCUUGACUGUGAGACCUACAAGUCGAGCAGGGACGAAAGUCGGUCUUAGUGAUCUGACGGUGCUGAGUGGAAAGGCCGUCACUCAACGGAUAAAAGUUACUCUAGGAUAACAGGCUGAUCUCCCCCAAGAGUUCACAUCGACGGGGAGGUUUGGCACCUCGAUGUCGGCUCAUCGCAUCCUGGGGCGGUAGUACGUCCCAAGGGUUGGGCUGUUCGCCCAUGAAAGCGGUACGCGAGCUGGGUUCAGAACGUCGUGAGACAGUUCGGUCCAUAUCCGGUGUAGGCGUUAGAAUAUUGAGAGGAGCCUUCUUUAGUACGAGAGGACCGAGAAGGACGUACCUCUGGUGUACCAGUUAUCGUGCCAACGGUAAACGCUGGGUAGCUAUGUAUGGAGUGGAUAACCGCUGAAGGCAUCUAAGUGGGAAGCCCACCUCAAGAUAAGUAUUCUCAC
rnacentral:rRNA from 1 species